CUUGACCGAGCCCAGCCACAGCGGCCGUGUGGCGUCGCGGUCCCGGCCGUAGGUCGCCAGCAGCGCCUGCGCCUC
rnacentral:antisense_RNA from 1 species